rnacentral:tRNA from 1 species
CGACAGAUAGUUUAAUUAGGAAAAAUGCCGCAAUAAUUGAAUUUUGGUUUAAAAUUCGUUCAGCAUAAUCUUCGAAUUGUGGAGAAGCCGGAGAUACUCGUUCGAAUCGAGUUCUGUCGA